rnacentral:rRNA from 1 species
ACCUGCGAAGGAUCCAUG